rnacentral:rRNA from 1 species
UUCAGACUCGCGGCACCGAGCUCAGUAACACGUGGCCAAACUACCCUACAGAGACGGAUACCCUCGGGAAACUGAGGUUAACCCGUCAUAUCGAUCUCAGGCUUGAAUCGCAGAGAUCACAAAAUGCCCCGGCGCUGUAGGAUGUGACUGCGGUUGAUUAGGUAGACGGUGGGGUAACGGCCCACCGUGCCCAUAAUCAGUACAGGUUGUGAGAGCAAGAACCUGGAGACGGAAUCUGAGACAAGAUUCCGGGCCCUACGGGGCGCAGCAGGCGCGAAACCUUUACACUGCACGCACGUGCGAUAAGGGGACUCCGAGUGCGAGGGCAUAUCGUCCUCGCUUUCGUGUACCGUAGGGUGGUACACCAACAAGGGCUGGGCAAGACCGGUGCCAGCCGCCGCGGUAAUACCGGCAGCCCGAGUGAUGGCCGAUCUUAUUGGGCCUAAAGCGUCCGUAGCUGGCUACGCAAGUCCGUCGGGAAAUCCACUCGCUCAACGAGUGGGCGUCCGACGGAAACUGCACAGCUUGGGACCGGAAGGCUCGAAGGGUACGUUCGGGGUAGGAGUGAAAUCCCAUAAUCCCGCACGGACCACCGAUGGCGAAAGCACUUCGAGAAAACGGAUCCGACAGUGAGGGACGAAAGCCAGGGUCUCCAACCGGAUUAGAUACCCGGGUAGUC